rnacentral:lncRNA from 1 species
GCAGAUGAGGGUUGAGCAGAACAGGAAGAUGGCAACUUACACCCUGUAGUCUGACAAUCGUAUCAGCUCCACAGCGGAGACCUCUGCCUGCUUCCCCACAUGGAGUCUCCUUCAGUCUGCUCGUGCACUAGUUUACAGCAGAUAUGUGUCCAAAUCCCUGUGGAGGUGAGCGCCUCCCCUCUCUCCACACUGUUGCUCGCAGACAGUUUUCAUUCCCAUUCUUCAAAGAGGAAGAUGAAUUCUGAGACACCGACAAUGCAAAGCAGGAGACCAAAGUAGGGCGACACUCAUUUUCCUCUCAAUAACAUGACCUCGUUUCCCUUGUGGCUGGAUAAAACUCCAUUGUACGGACUCAUCACGCUUCCUUCAUCCAUCUUGACGACAGCCACGUGGGUGACAGGCGAGAUGGAAUCCCAGCGCAGUUUUUAAUCGACAUUUCCCUGCUAGAUAAAUCCUGCUUCAACACGUUCUUCAACUUUGAGGAUAUGCAAGAGAUCACCCAGCACUUUGCUGUCUGUCACGUGGAUGCCCCAGGCCAACAGGAAGCAGCACCCUCCUUCCCAACAGGACUCCUGGAGUGGUCAAGGUCUCCUAGUGUCUAGGAACUGUGGUGCUUUCUAAUUCAGGAGCGGUUACUCUGGGUUUCAGGUAUCAGUACCCCACCAUGGAUGAGCUGGCUGAGAUGCUGC